AUUGAACGCUGGCGGCAUGCCUUACACAUGCAAGUCGAACGGCAGCGGACCUUCGGGUGCCGGCGAGUGGCGAACGGGGUGAGUAAUAUAUCGGGAACGUACCUUUCAGUGGGGGAUAACGUAGCGAAAGUUACGCUAAUACCGCAUAUUCUGUGAGCAGGAAAGCAGGGGAUCGCAAGACCUUGCGCUGAUUGAGCGGCCGAUAUCAGAUUUAGCUAGUUGGUGAGGUAAAGGCUCACCAAGGCGACGGAUCUGUAGCGGGUCUGAGAGGAUGAUCCGCCACACUGGAACUGAGACACGGUCCAGACUCCUACGGGAGGCAGCAGUGGGGAAUUUUGGACAAUGGGCGCAAGCCUGAUCCAGCCAUGCCGCGUGAGUG
rnacentral:rRNA from 1 species